rnacentral:rRNA from 1 species
GACGAACGCUGGCGGCGUGCCUAAUACAUGCAAGUCGAGCGAGCUUGCCUAGAUGAAUUUGGUGCUUGCACCAAAUGAAACUAGAUACAAGCGAGCGGCGGACGGGUGAGUAACACGUGGGUAACCUGCCCAAGAGACUGGGAUAACACCUGGAAACAGAUGCUAAUACCGGAUAACAACACUAGACGCAUGUCUAGAGUUUAAAAGAUGGUUCUGCUAUCACUCUUGGAUGGACCUGCGGUGCAUUAGCUAGUUGGUAAGGUAACGGCUUACCAAGGCAAUGAUGCAUAGCCGAGUUGAGAGACUGAUCGGCCACAUUGGGACUGAGACACGGCCCAAACUCCUACGGGAGGCAGCAGUAGGGAAUCUUCCACAAUGGACGCAAGUCUGAUGGAGCAACGCCGCGUGAGUGAAGAAGGGUUUCGGCUCGUAAAGCUCUGUUGGUAGUGAAGAAAGAUAGAGGUAGUAACUGGCCUU